GAUGAACGCUCGCGGCAGGCCUAAUACAUGCAAGCCGAACGGCAAGUUUGAUAGCAUUAUUGGACCUAGAGUGGCGCAAGGGUGCGUAACACGUAUGCAACCUGCCCGCGACAGGAGGAUAUCUCCCCGAAAGGGGAAUUAACCCUCCAUAACACCAUGAGAAGGCCUCUGUUUAUGGUUAAACCGCACGUGGUCGCGGAUGGGCAUGCGGUUGAUUAGCUAGUUGGCGGGGUAAAGGCCCACCAAGGCGGUGAUCAAUAGGGGUUCUGAGAGGAAGGUCCCCCACACUGGCACUGAGAUACGGGGCAUACUACUACGGGAGGAAGCAGUAGGGAAUAAUGGACAAUGGUUGCAAGACUGAUCCAGCAAGGCCGAGUGAAGGAAGAAGGCCUUCUGAGUCGGAACCUGCUUUUGCCUGUGGAUAAAAUACCCGUGCGCGGGAAAUUGAAGGUAACAGGAGAAUAAGCCACGGCUAACUACGUG
rnacentral:rRNA from 1 species